CUAAGGGGGGGCUGAAAGGCCUGAGAUGUCGCCGCCUGCGCCAGACCCUUUGAACCUGAUCCGGAUCGUACCGGCGUAGGGAUAGGUGAU
rnacentral:ncRNA from 1 species